rnacentral:antisense_RNA from 1 species
GUAGAACUUUUUGCAAAACUGAUAAAAGCAACCAGUCAACAAGAAUGUACUAAACCUCAUUCAGUAUUGACUACUUAGUCAAAGGCUGGGGAGGUUUGGGGCAUGUCUGUGAAACUCACCCAUGCCAUCUGGAAAGGAAAAAGUUAAGUUGCAUUUCUGCAAUACAUUCUCUCCCUUCCCUGAGGUGCUCCUGGAAUAUAAAGAAAGUAAGGAAAUAUUUACUGGGCCUUCAGCUUUCUGUAAUACUUUGGAACAGCACUAGCAUCUAUCUCAGGGUUUAAAAUAUGGAAGUUCUUGCCUUCCUUGAAUCUUUUCUCCCAGAAAUAACAUAUUGGCUCUCUUCCCUGUGACAUGCCUAAUCUGACAUUGGCUGGCUUUCAUACCAAACCUUUGUUUUAGCCUACUAUCAAUUCAACUUUUACGUUGACAAAACAUAAUUUUUGGUUGUCAAUGUAAAAGUUGACAUUUUCACAUUCAACUUUAUUUAAUUUAAAUGCUGAAUUUAAAUUUCAAUGCUGAAAAUUUAUUUAAGCACUUAAAAUGAUAUUAGAAGAGGUAUCUUAUGUUUUUAAACAGAGAUAUAUUUCAUUUUUAUAUGAAGUCAACAGAUCACAUGUGUAUGUCUCUUACAUGUUCUUGUGUGGGAAUAGCUUGAAUUACUACAUAAGCUCUCUGAGAAUAUUAAGUUCAUUUAGGGGAAUAGGACAUAUCUAUAUGAAAAAC